rnacentral:rRNA from 1 species
GAUGAACGCUGGCGGCGUGCCUAAUACAUGCAAGUCGAGCGAACAGACGAGGAGCUUGCUCCUCUGACGUUAGCGGCGGACGGGUGAGUAACACGUGGAUAACCUACCUAUAAGACUGGGAUAACUUCGGGAAACCGGAGCUAAUACCGGAUAAUAUAUUGAACCGCAUGGUUCAAUAGUGAAAGACGGUUUUGCUGUCACUUAUAGAUGGAUCCGCGCCGCAUUAGCUAGUUGGUAAGGUAACGGCUUACCAAGGCAACGAUGCGUAUCCGACCUGAGAGGGUGAUCGGCCGCACGAGAACUGAGACACGGACAAGACUCCUACGGGAGGCAGCAGUAGGGAAUCUUCCGCAAUGGGCGAAAGCUUGACGGAGCAACGCCGCGUGAGUGAUGAAGGUCUUCGGAUCGUAAAACUCUGUUAUUAGGGAAGAACAAAUGUGUAAGUAACUAUGCACGUCUUGACGGUACCUAAUCAGAAAGCCACGGCUAACUACGUG